UAAAACAUAGCAAAUAGACAAGCCAGGCUACAAAGCAAAUGUAAACACAAUAGAAAUAUUAGCUGUUCUGCGUGAGUGCAAAUAUAUCGUUGAAUAUAUGGCCGAUUAAGUGCAAACAAAAUGUCGUCUUAUAAGUUCAUUAUACUCUGUCACAAUUUCGACAGAUCGUUUACCCCACUCCUAAAGUAAACAUUAAUCGAUCUAGUAAGGGAGGUUUAGAACCAUAAAGAGGUGUUUGACUUGAGUUUUGUUGGAUCUCAACUAUUGUAGUUUUUCCAGUCUGGUUUUUAGAUACACACGUGCUCUAGAGAAGCCAGAGGUUUAAUGAACUGAUCAUCGAAACUGUAAAAGCAUUCACUACGAUUAGAGAAAAUUAUUGUUCUUUCUUAUUUUUAUUCCCAAUCUUGUUAGAAGAGCACAACACAUUUAAAUUCUGCUCCAAACGCACUCUUUUCGUUGGGUACAAUAAGCCACUAACAAACUUACUUCUUCAAUAGUUAGAGUACUAGCUUACAUUUCACUGGAAGUUAUUGGCAUAAAAACUAAAAAUGAAAAUAAAAUAAGAUAAAAUAAAAUAAGUUUUCGAUUUAUGUUCUGACGUUGUAUACUCUGAAGAGUGUCAGACGAAAAGCUUCAGAAACAUGUUUCAAAAGUUCGUCUUUUUCAAAGCCAUUUUGGAAAUGAAAUAUAUAAAUAUAGCGAAAUGAUUGUUUCACAGAAAGGCUGUAGUGCUACAUCAAAUAAAACAAUGAUAAAAGAACAUUUGGAUAUAUCCUUCUUGUUUGACAUUUUAUUCGUCAAUUAUUCUACCAGAAAGAUAACAAACUCUCUUUUGGCAUUUUCUUUUCACGAAGUUAUUUAAUAUAUCAACAUAUUUGUUUCCCAGGUGAUAAAUAUUUCACUCAUAAAUAGCUAGCAAAAUAUAGUAUCGCUGUUGAUCUAUGCAUACAGACAAGAGAGCACUCUUUCAUAAUUUCCAAAUAACAUCUUAUUCUAUUCUAAAGGAUUUCAUAGGCCUGCCCUUUCUAUAUGCUUAAUAUCCUUAUAGACAAACAAAUUUUUUGAUCACACAACAUUUAAACACAAUGACUCAUUAAUUAUGAACCUUGAUAAUUUUUUUCCUUUCAGGCGAAACGUGCAAAUAUAUCAACAGUCAUUUUACCAGAAGGCAACAAAAAAGACUAUGACAACUUGCAAAGUUUCAUAAAACAAAACUUAGAAGUGCAUUUUGUUAGUAACUACAAUAAGGUAUACGAAAUAGCACUGAAUUAUUCGGAAAACAAUGCAGAGCAAGACAACAGCUCGUAGAAUUAUAUAUACUAUUAUUAGCUAUUUACUUCCGAUUUAAUUCUAUAAAACAUUAAAGUUGGGUAUUUUACAAUCUUUAAUGUAAAUCUCAAAACCUGCCUAUAACCUUCACCGAGUAUAUUUAGUAUCAGCUUUAGAUAAUACCCUUGGAGAAGUAUGUAAUUAAUCAAGAAAAUAAGAUUUGUAGGCAAAAUAAACGGAAAAGAAGCCCAGUGUUUCUAAAUUAUCGAUAAGCCGAACGUUAUAUUUUCCAGAUUUUUUCUAGAUCCGGGAAACCAGUUUCCUUUUUCAAAUGCCAAAAAUUUUCAAUUCUCUAAAUAACAAGAUGAAUGCCCCUUGCAACACCCGGCGAUGCGAUAACGUUUUCAUCGUUCAAUGGGCUAGUCUUCCCUUUGUUCUUUCACUAGAUCAUUUUGCUUAAAGGAAAACAAAGGAUUGAGUUGGGGCUACUCCAUAGAAUAUAAAAACUACAAUGAUUAAACAAGUGUGGAUUAUACACAGGUUUUUAUGGUCCUCGUAAUUAUUUACAAGAAUUACAUCCCGCAGGUAGACUUUUUAUCCAUUAAGUAGAUGGUAUACAGUUAAUCCGUACUUUAUAUAUGUAUAAAUUUCAUCUGUAUUAGCGAAUGCGAGAGAAAAAUAUGAGUCUGACGAGCGAGGUCUGAAGUCAUCCUUGAGUGAUUCCUUCGCAACUUUUAUGCCUUGGCUACUUUUGAUAUCUCUUUUUAUCAAAAUUUCUUUCACUGGCUUUUUCUAACAAAUUUUAUACAGUUACAGCUACAUCAAAUUUAUUCUUCCCCAACAAUUUAACUUAAUGCAGUUCUUUGUCAACAUGGAUUCUUCUUCUAUAUUUUUUUAGUAUUGUCAAUUUUUGCGUCCGUAAUAAAUGUCGUCGUUUUCUUUGCCUUUUUAGCUAGCUUUUUCUUUAAAAUAUAAUAAGUGCCUCUGAUUUUCCAUAUGACCAAAAAGCAGUUGUUUGAAAACAGUAAAGAUAUCUUCUUUCGUCAACACGUAUCGACGAAGGAGCUUUACUACCCAGAAUGCUAUUCGCCUUUCGUGUGAUUAAAAACAUGGCUUCGAAGAAAGUUGUUUUCGUCAUAAGCGGCUCACGUGUUAUAGUUAUUCCAAGAAAAUUGAUAUUUACUAUGCGACAAGAUGUUAGAUAAAUAUAUUGUAAUGUUGAACAGUUAAAGGCCGAAGAGUCAUGGAUAUUUGCAUCCUGCUUUGAUUUCUGUGGUAUUUUGUCUUGAUUGGAAAACUUUGGAACCAAAAGCCAGGGCUCACAAAUUCCUCUUCAGAGCUCCAUCAAUAUAGCCAGUUGAUGCUUUGAACACCUAGAAAUUGGAUAUGAAUGGGAUCUGGACUAAAACCUUCAUAAGAACUUGUAUGACUUUUGCAGGUAUGUCGGUUCCCUUUCCUUCAAAUUCCAAACUUACAAACUUAAAUAGCGUGGAUCCUUGAGCUUUUUUUCUGAAGUGCAGACCUUUAAUUCUGAAGUGCAAACCUUAUACUUUCCAAGGAAAAUUAUUUUUUUUCAAAUUACCAUUAUAUUUCAAAGUAUAGUUUUUCCUUGAGAAUUAAAUUCUAUUCAUAACUUACUAUGCGUUACUUUUGAUGAAAAGUUUCUUACUGUUGUUAGCUUUGUAAAAACAAUUCUCUAAAAACCACUUUUAUUUUUAUUUCCUUUCGCAUGAAUUUCUCUUUCUAACUUACUGCUGGUAGCUCUUUUGAAAAGCUUCUCUAAAAACCACUUUUAUUUUUAUUUCCUUGCGUAUUAACUUUCGUUUAUCACUUACUAUAACUUACUCUGUUUUUGAGUUUCUCAAAAAGCCAACAUGUCAAUUUUUAUUGCCAAGUUCCUGUGGAGAGCUUUGCGUUAGUGUUUCCCUAAAAGCCUUUGUUGUUUUUAUUUUAUUGCCUGUCAAUUUUAUUGCUACGUUGCUGUAGGGAGCUUUCCUUUAAAGUUUCUCUAAAAUCCUUAUUUCUCUUUAUUUUAC